CGAACGGGUGAGUAAUACAUAGGAACGUGUCCGCUCGUGGGGGACAACCAGCCGAAAGGUUGGCUAAUACCGCAUGAGUUCUACGGAAGAAAGAGGGGGACCCGCAAGGGCCUCUCGCGAGCGGAGCGGCCGAUGACUGAUUAGCCUGUUGGUGAGGUAACGGCUCACCAAAGCAACGAUCAGUAGCUGGUCUGAGAGGACGACCAGCCACACUGGGACUGAGACACGGCCCAGACUCCUACGGGAGGCAGCAG
rnacentral:rRNA from 1 species